GCUGCCUAAAAAACUCUCGAUCCCCUCCUCUCCCUCUCCCUACCAUCACCGCCACUGUUGACUAGAUCGAGGUGCUAGCGGCCCGAUGCACCUGGCGGCUACCGGAUCCGUCCCCCCUACGGAUCCACUAGCUCAACACUCUCCGCCACCGCCAUGUCCACCAUGGUGGCCAGCAAUGCAAGGUGUCUCUUGGCGUUCGGCCGUCCCCAUACGGCGGCAUCAUGUCGGCGCCCCACGUCCAGGUCUACGCUCUUCGCCGUCGGCAGCCUCCACCAUGUCGCCACCUCCUUGCUGCCGGAUGAGACAUCCUAUGCAUCAUUGUCAUCUUGGUUGCCGGUGAAAGCCUGCUCUUUCUCCUCUGGGAUCGAUUUCACCUUCAUCUUGCUCUGCCACGGGUGGAUCUUCAGUCCCCUGGCAUAUGUGUUGUCCAUUCUAUACUCCCGCCGGCUGGCCAGCUGUGUGUGUGUCGUGGGUGGCUUGACGUGCGCGCUCUAUUGGCAUUGUAAGCGGGCAGUUGCAGGCAGGGGACGAGCUGUUGGCUACUUGCAGAGGAGGAUUAGGAUUGUAUAGCACAACCAGGAGAGCUCGUUUGAUUUGUUUUGGUCUAGAUUAGUCAAACUGUGAAUUGAUAUUUGUUUCGUGGUACAGGAGCUUCAAGGCAACAGGGGCAAUAGGCUUUGACAACAACACAUUCAAUGAGUUUCUUCCCAAAUCUGAAACUAUUUGGCUCUAAAUUGUAAUCCCCUUGAGAAAGUUAGAGUAUUUAUGGACUGGUUUAUGGAUGUUGCAAAUUUGAUUGCAGCAGGGACGAGCAAAGAAAGUGCAGUGCUCACCGUUGAUAGAUAUAUUCAGGGAAACAUCAAAUUUCAGUGAGAAUGAACAUGACCAGGCAGGGAGCUUCAUGCAUCAUUGGAUCUGAGAAUUGUUUACUACUGUGAAUUGUUUAUGUUUCUUGGAGACACUAACCGUAGCUUCUUAUUAGUGCCCAUGGUGAAAGAGCUAUAUUGUUGUGCCUUUCUUGGAUUCAGGUUCUUCUAUUCCAAAUGGCCGCUUGUCAUCCGCGAGCGCAGUGAGCAGUGCCUGCUGGAGUCGUAGCGCAGGACUCCUGCUACCGGCGGGAGUAAUAUUUACCGAGGACGCCCAACUUGGCCGACCCUGAUGGCUGCGCCCGGUACACACUCACACGCAUCAACGGCGAUCCGCACACAUAUGCCGCGUUAGAGGCGUCGCUGCGUCUCAUCGCCGAGCUGCGCCAGUCCAACAACUCAGACCUAUGAGCACAUGUUCACACGCAAGUUCGCACCUGACUGCCUUGGCCCGCUCAUGGCCAUCGCAGACACUGUCAUCUUCCAAGACUGAUUGAUGUGGCGCUCUGGAUCAUAGCUACACGUAGGAGGUAUUUCUAGCGCCUGAUUUCUCAAAAGUUUCAGAGGUUCUAGACAUUACUUCUUCUUGUUUUAUACUUUAUCUGAAUUGAGUUUUCAUUCCCGUUUUUUAAAAGUUAGUUGUAUCCAACAACAACAUAAUACAUGCUCACUAGGAUGUUUUCUUUUGAAUUUCUAGACAUUACUUGUGAAAGCAGUAGCAACUGAGUGCUCAUUACAUGUUCUUAGCGUAAAAGGUUCCGAACUUGCUCAUUAAACUUUCUUAGUGUAAAAAGUCUAGAACUGAUAAACAUGGAGUAUGUUGGAGAAUCAGAGAAGAAUAUCAGGGACAUCUUUGAGAAGGUAUAUCCAUCUGCACGAGCCAUAUAAUUGCCAUGAAAUAUCCACAUAUACUCAGAUAAUCAGUAUUCACCGUCAAUUUUAGGCUAGAUCAGCACGCCCAUGAGUAAUUUUCUUCGAUGAGCUUGAUUCCCUUGCUCCUGCACGAGUGUCCUCUGCAGAUUCUGGAGGUGGUUUCUCAGCACAAAUGCUGACGGAGAUGCAUAUGUUUGGCAUUCUAUCAGUAACAUAAACUUGUGCUAGCUUGCAGCACUACAUUUUGUGAUUGUGUAGUAUCCACACCACUACUGAUUGUCUAUGCUCUUGCCUGAGAGCACGUGUUGUGCUUUGUAGCAUAUCGUCUAACAAAGAUGUAAACUCUGCAAGUAGAAAUAGACUUUAGCACUGUGAUCCAGUAUGUAUUGAGUAUGGAUUAGUAUUUGGUAUGCUUGCAAAUGCUUAUUUAUUGCUUGCACCAGAGAUACCAACAAGUUACUAUUGAAAAUUCAAAUAUACUGUCAGGAAAAUGUAAAAACACCCACGCACUGGUCUCAACCAGCUCUACCCUGCUGUCACCGCCCUCCCCUAAGAGCAUUCAACCCUACGGCAGAGCUGGUUCUGCACCCCGAGCACUCAACCCUACGACGGAGCUGGUUCUGCAUACUGUCAUUUUCUCCCGUUGCAAUGCACGGGCUCAAAUCAACUUUGUUUGCCGGUGCAGUUUAGUAGCGCAUGUUCUCAUGAUCGCAUCUGUUGUUUAUUCCACCAAAGAAACAUGUAUGCAAUUUUUGGAUUUGUCUUGGAAGUUCAUAAGAUAUUGUCGGAAUCGGGCGAUCAUGAACUUGAUGCCAUAUCCAAGAAAUGUGAGGCUGCUUCGGGAGGGCGUGCGUGAGCCGUACUUUGGUGAGCGGCAGUCACGCUGAUUAAUUAGCCGCAUUUAGAUUUGUAUCACUACCACUGGCUUGGAUUGAUCUGCGGAGCCGUACUAAGUUUUGGAUUAAUAUUGUUCUUUGUCAAUGUGAACAAAUUGUAUUACCAUGCUACUGAGUGGUUUCUCGAUAAAUCUCAGUUCGUUUCCAAUGGGCAGAUGAUAUUUUUUGUAGUAA